rnacentral:lncRNA from 1 species
AAUGCAUGGGGAUAGAACAAACCUCCAUAACACCCACAGAGGUUGAAAAAUUGCUGUGAGACUAGAAGAAGAAUACCGAAAAAACAAAAGCCAAGGUCAGAUAUGAGAGUAAGUCACCAUAAAAUCCGAAGCUGAUGAGGAGCACUACUAUUUGCAGUUGUGAAAAAAAAUGGACCAGAUCGCGACAACAAAGGAGAAGAAAAAAAGUGUGUGCAGCCGGCCAAAAAACCAGAAACCCAACCAGAAGAAAAUAGCAACCUCGCGUAGCCAUGUGAAAGGCAGAGCUGCAAUACAAGACCCAUGCGCGAAUGGAGAAACUACGCGGAGGGCCAUGCGUGAACCAAAUCAGAUGGGUCGGGGAGACCGAGUCUUCGAUGCGCGACCGGGCGGAGGAGAUGUAGAGGCUAUGCAGGUCAGAUCGGGCGCAAAUCAGAGAGAUACAAACUGAGCCUGCAAUGCACAGCCAGGCGGAGGAGAACCAGAUGUUGUGCGGGUCAAGUCGGGCGUGAAACAGAGAGAGACAGCUACUUGCACGAUUAGAGAGAUAGUCGAAAGAGAAGCAGCGGUCGGGCUCGUGCACGACCGGAGCAAGGGGAUUGGCUAUGGCGGAGACGCUCACCGGAGAAGGGCGGCAGGCCGGCAAUGAGGUUAGGACUUCGUUUGGGUGGGUGUUUUAUAGGGUUUGAAAAAAACUCUAAAAAUUAAAAUUUUAAAAAAUGUUUAUUUUGCUUUUAAAAAUAUAUUUAUUUAUUUAUUUUUUUUAUGUAUUUUAGUGUUAUAGGUAACAUAUAUAUAUAUAUAUAUAAAAUUCUUAAAG